rnacentral:rRNA from 1 species
UACGGGGGGGCAAGCGUUGUUCGGAUUUACUGGGCGUAAAGGGCGCGUAGGCGGCGUGACAAGUCACUUGUGAAAUCUCCGGGCUUAACUCGGAACGGCCAAGUGAUACUGUCGUGCUAGAGUGCAGAAGGGGCAAUCGGAAUUCUUGGUGUAGCGGUGAAAUGCGUAGAUAUCAAGAGGAACACCUGAGGUGAAGACGGGUUGCUGGGCUGACACUGACGCUGAGGCGCGAAAGCUAGGGGAGCAAACGGG